AAGGUCGUAACAAGGUUUCCGUAGGUGAACCUGCGGAAGGAUCAUUAUCGUAGGGCUUCGGCCCUGUCGAGAUAGAACCCUUGCCUUUUUGAGUACCUUUCGUUUCCUCGGCAGGCUCGCCUGCCAAUGGGGACCCAAUAAACACUUUGCAGUACCUGUAAUAGUCUGAAAAACAAACAAAAAUUAAAACUUUCAACAACGGAUCUCUUGGUUCUG
rnacentral:misc_RNA from 1 species